rnacentral:rRNA from 1 species
GAUGAACGCUGGCGGCGUGCCUAAUACAUGCAAGUCGAGCGAACGGACGAGAAGCUUGCUUCUCUGAUGUUAGCGGCGGACGGGUGAGUAACACGUGGAUAACCUACCUAUAAGACUGGGAUAACUUCGGGAAACCGGAGCUAAUACCGGAUGAUAUUUUGAACCGCAUGGUUCAAAAGUGAAAGACGGUCUUGCUGUCACUUAUAGAUGGAUCCGCGCUGCAUUAGCUAGUUGGUAAGGUAACGGCUUACCAAGGCAACGAUGCGUAGCCGACCUGAGAGGAUGAUCGGCCACACUGGAACUGAGACACGGUCCAGACUCCUACGGGAGGCAGCAGUAGGGAAUCUUCCGCAAUGGGCGAAAGCCUGACGGAGCAACGCCGCGUGAGUGAUGAAGGUCUUCGGAUCGUAAAACUCUGUUAUUAGGGAAGAACAUAUGUGUAAGUAACUGUGCACAUCUUGACGGUACCUAAUCAGAAAGCCACGGCUAACUACGUG